rnacentral:rRNA from 1 species
CUCUGUGACUCCUACGGGAGGCAGCAGUGGGGAAUAUUGCACAAUGGGCGCAAGCCUGAUGCAGCAACGCCGUGUGAGUGAAGAAGGUUUUCGGAUCGUAAAACUCUGUCCUAAGGGAAGAAACAAAUGACGGUACCUUAGGAGGAAGCCCCGGCUAACUACGUGCCAGCAGCCGCGGUAAUACGUAGGGGGCAAGCGUUAUCCGGAAUCACUGGGCGUAAAGGGUGCGUAGGCGGCUUAGCAAGCCAGGGGUGAAAGGCAUUGGCUCAACCAAUGUAAGCCUUUGGAACUGUUAAGCUUGAGUGCAGGAGAGGUAAGUGGAAUUCCUAGUGUAGAGGUGAAAUUCGUAGAUAUUAGGAGGAACACCAGUGGCGAAGGCGACUUACUGGACUGUAACUGACGCUGAUGCACGAAAGCGUGGGUAGCGAACAGGAUUAGAUACCCUGGGAG